rnacentral:rRNA from 1 species
UACGGGGGGGGCAAGCGUUGUUCGGAAUUACUGGGCGUAAAGGGCUCGUAGGUGGCCAACUAAGUCAGACGUGAAAUCCCUCGGCUUAACCGGGGAACUGCGUCUGAUACUGGAUGGCUUGAGUUUGGGAGAGGGACGCGGAAUUCCAGGUGUAGCGGUGAAAUGCGUAGAUAUCGAGAGGAACACCAGAGGUGAAGACGGGUUGCUGGGCCGACACUGACGCUGAGGCGCGAAAGCCAGGGGAGCAAACGGG